GUGAAUCAUCGAAUCUUUGAACGCAAAUUGCACUCUCUGGUAUUCCGGAGAGUAUGCCUGUUUGAGGGUCAGUUUAAAUAAAAUUCGUUUUGGUGUUUUCUUUUCGUGUGAACCCACCGGUUUUGGGUUGUCUUGCUUUCGGUUAGGUAACCUAAAAUUUUGCAUGAUUUUUUUCGAACUUAUUUAAUUAAUUUUACUUCCGUUUCCGAUUUAAA
rnacentral:misc_RNA from 1 species